UUAGUUAUUAAAACUGUAAAUAAAAAUAAUUUAUAUCAAUAUCUAUAUCCGAACAUUAAAAGUUAUUAUUUAAUGUUCAAAAUAAAAAUUUGAUCACAACAUAGAUAAAUUUUCUGUUAAAAGAAUUUUUUUCUGUGCAUAAAUCAAGCGUUUAAGGGCGUGUAGUGGAUGCCUUGGCACUGAAAGCCGAUGAAGGACGUGAUAUACUGCGAUAAGUUUCGGGGAGCUGUAUGUAAGCUUUGAUCCGAAAAUUUCCGAAUGGGGAAACCCACCACUUUAUGUGGUACUUUAAACUGAAUACAUAGGUUUAAAGAGACAACCUGGAGAACUGAAACAUCUAAGUAACCAGAGGAAAAGAAAUCAAUUGAGAUUCCGUUAGUAGUGGCGAGCGAACGCGGAGUAGGCCAGUAGUUUUGUUAGAAAAAUUUGAAUAGUUUGGAAAUGCUAACCAUAGAGGGUGAUAGUCCCGUAUGAGUAAUGUCUAACAAAAUUCUUGAGUAAAGCGGGACACGAGAAAUCCUGCUCGAAUAUAGGGGGACCACCCUCUAAGCCUAAAUACUCUUCAGUGACCGAUAGUGAACUAGUACCGUGAGGGAAAGGUGAAAAGAACCCCUAUUAGGGGAGUGAAAUAGAACCUGAAACUGCAUGCCUACAAUCAGUCCGAGCCCUUUUUAGGGUGAGGGCGUACCUUUUGUAUAAUGGGUCAGUGACUUAAUUUAUUAAGCAAGCUUAAGCCAUCUAGGUGUAGGCGCAGCGAAAGCAAGUCUUAAUAGGGCGAUUAGUUUAAUGAAUUAGACCCGAAAACGAAUGAGCUUACCAUGAGCAGGUUGAAAGUUGGGUAACACCAACCGGAGGACCGAACCAGUUGACGUUGAAAAGUCUUUGGAUGACUUGUGGUAAGGGGUGAAAGGCCAACCAAAUUCGUAGAUAGCUGGUUUUCCGCGAAAACUAUUUAGGUAGUGCGUCGAAUAAAUAGAUGUUUAGAGGUAGAGCACUAAAUGGGCUAGGGGGAAGAGAUUCUUACCAAACCUAAUAAAACUCCGAAUGCUAGACAUUGUUCUUCGGCAGACAGACUGUGGGUGCUAAGGUCCAUGGUCGAGAGGGAAAGAGCCCAGACCACCAGAUAAGGUCCCAAAAUCAUGAUUAAGUGUGAAAGGAUGUGGAAAUUCCUUAACAGCCGGGAGGUUGGCUUAGAAGCAGCCAUCCUUUAAAGAUAGCGUAACAGCUCACCGGUCUAAUAGAGUUUCUGCGCCGAAGAUGUAACGGGGCUAAAAUCAUGUACCGAAUCUGUGGCUUUACAAAGUUUUCGAACUUUGUAAGGGGUAGCGGAACGUUCUGUAAGCCUGCGAAGGGAUACCCGUGAGGGAUCCUGGAGGUAUCAGAAGUGCGAAUGCUGACAUAAGUAACGAUAAACGAAGUGAAAAACUUCGUCGCCGAAAAUCUAAGGGUUUCUAUGCAAGGUUAAUCCGCGUAGAGUUAGUCGGCACCUAAGGCGAGGGCGAAAGCCGUAGUCGAUGGAAACAAGGUUAAUAUUCCUUGACCUGAUGGUAGUGACGGAUUUCGUAAGUUGUGAGUUCUUAAUGGAUUGAACUUGCCGCGAAGAGGUCCCAAGAAAUAGCUCCAUCAUGAAGACCGUACCCGAAACCGACACAGGUAGAUUAAUAGAGUAUAUUUAGGCGCUUGAGAGAAUGAUGUUGAAGGAACUCGGCAAAAUGCUUCCGUAACUUCGGGAUAAGGAAGACCCUUUUGUAGGCAACUAUGGAAGGGUGGCACAAGCCAGGGAGAAGCGACUGUUUAUCAAAAACACAGGGCUCUGCUAACACGUAAGUGGAUGUAUAGGGUCUGACGCCUGCCCGGUGCUGGAAGGUUAAUGCGGUUGGUGCAAGCUAACUUCUGAAGCCCCAGUAAACGGCGGCCGUAACUAUAACGGUCCUAAGGUAGCGAAAUUCCUUGUCGGGUAAGUUCCGACCUGCAUGAAUGGCGUAACGAUUUCUCCGCUGUCUCCAACAUCAACUCAGUGAAAUUGAAUUCUCCGUGAAGAUGCGGAGUUCGCGUAGUUAGACGGAAAGACCCCGUGCACCUUUACUGCAACUUUACAUUGGUGUUAGGAAAAACAUAUUUAGCAUAGGAGGGAGACUUUGAAGCAAAGGCGUCAGCUUUUGUGGAGUCACCAGUGAAAUACCUCUUUUGUUUUUCUUGACAUCUAACCGCUAGCCGUCAUCCGGCAGCGAGACAUUGUAUGGUGGGUAGUUUGACUGGGGCGGUCGCCUCCCAAAUAGUAACGGAGGCGUGCGAAGGUAGGCUCAGAACGGUCAGAAAUCGUUCGUAGAGUGCAAUGGCAUAAGCCUGCCUGACUGUGAGACUGACAAGUCGAGCAGAGACGAAAGUCGGUCAUAGUGAUCCGGUGCUUCUGAGUGGAAGGGGCAUCGCUCAACGGAUAAAAGGUACGCCGGGGAUAACAGGCUGAUACUGCCCAAGAGCUCAUAUCGACGGCAGUGUUUGGCACCUCGAUGUCGGCUCAUCACAUCCUGGGGCUGGAGCAGGUCCCAAGGGUUUGGCUGUUCGCCAAUUAAAGUGGUACGUGAGCUGGGUUCAGAACGUCGUGAGACAGUUCGGUCCCUAUCUGCUAUGCGUGUAGAAGAAUUGAGAGGAGUUGACCCUAGUACGAGAGGACCGGGUUGAACAUACCACUGGUGGACCUGUUGUGGCGCCAGCCGCAGUGCAGGGUAGCUAAGUAUGGAAGAGAUAACUGCUGAAAGCAUCUAAGCGGGAAACUCACCUCAAAACUAGUUCUUCCUAUAGAGCCGUGGUAGACCACCACGUUGAUAGGCUGGAUGUGGAAGCGCAGUAAUGCGUGUAGCUGACCAGUACUAAUAGCUCAAUUGGCUUGAUUUAUG
rnacentral:rRNA from 1 species